AUUUAUGAAUUAAUGUCUCACAUGUCGUGUUCCCUAGCUCAGGAUUCAGUUUGUCUGACAAUUAAUGAGCUCAACUUCUUUUGACGAUAAAAAAUAACUAUUCUUGCAGACAUGUUCCUUUGUCACGAAAACGCGAUGCCAGCUGAUGCGCCCGACGGCUUGAUUUUAGUGGAUGGGACAAAUUAUGACUGGUCAAAAUUUUAAAACUUCCAAAGUGAUUACAGCGAGUUGAGUAAUAUGAUCGACUUGCCGUCAACUGAAUUAAUUAGUUUCAACUUUUUUCCAAAUUCAGUGCUAUAGUUUUUGCUCUUGCUUCACCUGGUUCUAAAAUCGAGAUUUUUCCAAAUUUGAAAUUGCAUUAGUUGAGUCGAGGUUUGAGUAACAUUUAGAGUACAGAUUCUGACGGUUCUCAGAUGUUUCGCAUAGUUCUGCAUACUAAAACACGUUUCCGACAUAUCAAUAGUAAUAGCUAGCGUUGAUAAUUUAUUUCUCAUGAUGAGCAAUGGAUCAUUGGACACAAAAGAUUCCAAGCUUUUGGAAGAAUUUGCAACCAAUAAUCUACUUUUUCUUAAUAUCCAUAUCAAAUUCCAAAGCCAUGUGUCUGUACUUUUUGGGUUGACAUGCUUUUCACUUAAGAAUAAUAAAAUCUAUCACACGCAUUUGUAACACGAAAUAUUUCAACAAAGAUAUUUUCAUAUGAUGAUGAUAAUUAUGAUUUGUGACAAACUGAUUUGCAUUAUCAAUUAUAACUCCACAGGAUUGCUAUUCAUCAAAGAUUGAAACAGAUGGUUGUUUGGAAUCUUGCAAGACUGUGCGGCGAGUCUAGUCCACUUUGGCAACUGCAAUAGGUCCGAGGCUUUCAUCAAACUACCGCAAGACUCGUUGUCUAUCUCAGUUUUAGUCGAUCCCAGCAGGAUCUGAACCCACCUCGCAUUGCCCAAGUCUUCCGGAUUUUUUAGAAGCUUUAGACGGCUGGUACAGUUGAAGUCUGACUUUCUUGUUCAUGUGAGACGUCCCAUUUACUCCGAC